rnacentral:ncRNA from 1 species
UAAUAUGCGAAAGUUUCACGUCGUAUAGUCUUGGAAAGACGGUCCAAGCGUUUCUACCCGAUUCCAAUCUAAUCGGACUACGGUGUGAAGUAUUAAGGAU